rnacentral:rRNA from 1 species
UGGGGAAUAUUGCACAAUGGGGGAAACCCUGAUGCAGCGAUGCCGCGUGAAGGAAGAAGGUUUUCGGAUUGUAAACUUCUAUCAGCAAGGAAGAAAAAGGACAGUACUUGAGUAAGCAGCCCCGGCUAACUACGUGCCAGCAGCCGCGGUAAUACGUAGGGGGCGAGCGUUAUCCGGAAUUACUGGGUGUAAAGGGUGCGUAGGCGGCACUUUAAGUCAGUUGUGAAACCCACAGGCUCAACUUGUGGCUUGCAAUUGAAACUGGAGAGCUAGAGUGCAGGAGAGGAAAGCGGAAUUCCUAGUGUAGCGGUGAAAUGCGUAGAUAUUAGGAAGAACACCGGUGGCGAAGGCGGCUUUCUGGACUGCAACUGACGCUGAGGCACGAAAGCGUGGGGAGCAAACA